GAUGAACGCUAGCUACAGGCUUAACACAUGCAAGUCGAGGGACCGGCGCACGGGUGAGUAACACGUAUCCAACCUGCCCUUUACUCGGGGAUAGCCUUUCGAAAGAAAGAUUAAUACCCGAUAUCAAGGAUGGGGAUGCGUUCCAUUAGGUUGUUGGUGAGGUAACGGCUCACCAAGCCAUCGAUGGAUAGGGGUUCUGAGAGGAAGCCACACCAGAACGGAACUGAGACACGGACCAAACUGCUACGGGAGGCAGCAGUGAGGAAUACUGGGCAAUGGGGGGUAGCCCGACCCAGCCAAGUAGCGUGAAGGAUGAAGGCUUAUGGGUCGUAAACUUCUUUUAUAUAAGAAUAUGUAUUAUAUGAAUAAGCAUCGGCUAACUCCGUGCCAGCAGCCGCGGUAAUAC
rnacentral:rRNA from 1 species